rnacentral:tRNA from 1 species
GCAAAUAUAGUUUAACAAAAAACAUUAGAUUGUGAAUCUAAACAUAGAAGUUUAAAUCUUCUUAUAUGCC